rnacentral:rRNA from 1 species
GACGAACGCUGGCGGCGUGCCUAAUACAUGCAAGUCGAACGAACUCUGGUAUUGAUUGGUGCUUGCAUCAUGAUUUACAUUUGAGUGAGUGGCGAACUGGUGAGUAACACGUGGGAAACCUGCCCAGAAGCGGGGGAUAACACCUGGAAACAGAUGCUAAUACCGCAUAACAACUUGGACCGCAUGGUCCGAGUUUGAAAGAUGGCUUCGGCUAUCACUUUUGGAUGGUCCCGCGGCGUAUUAGCUAGAUGGUGGGGUAACGGCUCACCAUGGCAAUGAUACGUAGCCGACCUGAGAGGGUAAUCGGCCACAUUGGGACUGAGACACGGCCCAAACUCCUACGGGAGGCAGCAGUAGGGAAUCUUCCACAAUGGACGAAAGUCUGAUGGAGCAACGCCGCGUGAGUGAAGAAGGGUUUCGGCUCGUAAAACUCUGUUGUUAAAGAAGAACAUAUCUGAGAGUAACUGUUCAGGUAUUGACGGUAUUUAACCAGAAAGCCACGGCUAACUACGUGCCAGCAGCCGCGGUAAUACGUAGGUGGCAAGCGUUGUCCGGAUUUAUUGGGCGUAAAGCGAGCGCAGGCGGUUUUUUAAGUCUGAUGUGAAAGCCUUCGGCUCAACCGAAGAAGUGCAUCGGAAACUGGGAAACUUGAGUGCAGAAGAGGACAGUGGAACUCCAUGUGUAGCGGUGAAAUGCGUAGAUAUAAGGAAGAACACCAGUGGCGAAAGCGGCUGUCUGGUCUGUAACUGACGCUGAGGCUCGAAAGUAUGGGUAGCAAACAGGAUUAGAUACCCUGGUAGUCCAUACCGUAAACGAUGAAUGCUAAGUGUUGGAGGGUUUCCGCCCUUCAGUGCUGCAGCUAACGCAUUAAGCAUUCCGCCUGGGGGAGUACGGCGCAAGGCUGAAACUCAAAGGAAUUGACGGGGGCCGCAACAAGCGGUGGAGCAUGUGGUUUAAUUCGAAGCUACGCGAAGAACCUUACCAGGUCUUGACAUACUAUGCAAAUCUAAGAGAUUAGACGUUCCCUUCGGGGACAUGGAUACAGGUGGUGCAUGGUUGUCGUCAGCUCGUGUCGUGAGAUGUUGGGUUAGGUCCCGCAACGAGCGCAACCCUUAUUAUCAGUUGCCAGCAUUAAGUUGGGCACUCUGGUGAGACUGCCGGUGACAAACCGGAGGAAGGUGGGGAUGACGUCAAAUCAUCAUGCCCCUUAUGACCUGGGCUACACACGUGCUACAAUGGAUGGUACAACGAGUUGCGAACUCGCGAGAGUAAGCUAAUCUCUUAAAGCCAUUCUCAGUUCGGAUUGUAGGCUGCAACUCGCCUACAUGAAGUCGGAAUCGCUAGUAAUCGCGGAUCAGCAUGCCGCGGUGAAUACGUUCCCGGGCCUUGUACACACCGCCCGUCACACCAUGAGAGUUUGUAACACCCAAAGUCGGUGGGGUAACCUUUUAGGAACCAGCCGCCUAAGGUGGGACAGAUGAUUAGGGUGAAG